UACCUGCAGCUCAAGUGGUAACCGCUAUUAUUGGGCCUAAAGCGUCCGUAGCCGGUUUGGUAAAUAUCUGGGUAAAUCGUGAGGCCUAACUUCACGAAUUUCGGAUAGACUGCCAGACUUGGGAUCGGGGGAGGUCAGAGGUACUCCAGGGGUAGCGGUGAAAUGUUGUAAUCCUUGGAGGACCACCGGUAGCGAAGGCGUCUGACUAGAACGAGUCCGACGGUGAGGGACGAAGCCCUAGGGCGCAAACCGGAUUAGAUACCCGGGUAGUCCAGGGUGUAAACGAUGUGGGCUUUGUAUUGGGGGUCCCACGUGGGCGUCCAGUGCAGAAGAGAAGUUGUUAAGCCCACGCCUGGGAAGUACGGUCGCAAGGCUGAAACUUAAAGGAAUUGGCGGGGGAGCACAGCAACGGGAGGAGCGUGCGGUUU
rnacentral:rRNA from 1 species